rnacentral:rRNA from 1 species
GACGGGGGGGGCAAGUGUUCUUCGGAAUUACUGGGCGUAAAGGGCACGUAGGUGGUGAAUCGGGUUGAAAGUGAAAGUCGCCAAAAAGUGGCGGAAUGCUCUCGAAACCAAUUCACUUGAGUGAGACAGAGGAGAGUGGAAUUUCGUGUGUAGGGGUGAAAUCCGUAAAUAUACGAAGGAACGCCAAAAGCGAAGGCAGCUCUCUGGGUCCCUACCGACGCUGGGGUGCGAAAGCAUGGGGAGCGAACAGG